CUUACACCUGAACUUGUCUCCAGCACUGCUGACACCCAGCUGGCACAUUCUUUCGGAGAGGGAGGGCACGACUUUUCUCCUGAGCCUCUGACAAAGCGUGGAGUCUAUAUAUGGCGCUGAGUACCCGGCUUCCACGGUCACCGCCGGCGGCGUCGGCACUAAGGACCCUAGACUCGCUGCCCCGGGGUCGGCUAAGCAUCUCCCCCCAUCUUCCUCUCUCCCAGCCGGGGACCGACUGAGGAUCGCUGUAGGACACCGGCUGUGACGCCGCGCCAUCCUCGGUGGGGGAACAUAGCCUCUGGUCUGGGACGCAAGCCUCCGGAGCGCGCUGGCAUCUCCGAGCACACAGACAGGAGCCCGGGUCCGCACCGUGAACAGCCGCCUCCUCGCUCUGUGUCCCGGAGCUGCCAGGCGCCUUCCCCACAACGGCUGGAAAGGGAAGGGACCCGGCUGUCCCUAUCAGGCUGCAGGGGUGUGGAAGUCACCGCCUUGCCCCCUCUUUGGAAGUCUUUCCCUUCCAGUUAAAGUUAUGUUUGUUUUCCCCAGCCUGACCUGUUAGUGUCUGUACCAUCACAAAUCAAUUACACAUUUUUCAUGACUCGCA